rnacentral:ncRNA from 1 species
AUGAAGAAGGGCAUAGUAAUCGACGAAAUGCUUCGGGGAGUUGAAAAUAAGCAUAGAUCUGGAGAUUCCCAAAUAGGGCAAACCUUUCGAACUGCUGCUGAAUCCAUGGGCAGUCAAGAGACAACCUGGCGAACUGAAACAUCUUAGUAGCCAGAGGAAAAGAAAGCAAAAUA